GAUGAACGCUGGCGGCGUGCCUAAUACAUGCAAGUCGAGCGAAUGGAUUAAGAGCUUGCUCUUAUGAAGUUAGCGGCGGACGGGUGAGUAACACGUGAGUAACCUGCCCAUAAGACUGGGAUAACUCCGGGAAACCGGGGCUAAUACCGGAUAACAUUUUGAACCGCAUGGUUCGAAAUUGAAAGGCGGCUUCGGCUGUCACUUAUGGAUGGACCCGCGUCGCAUUAGCUAGUUGGUGCGGUAACGGCUCACCAAGGCAACGAUGCGUAGCCGACCUGAGAGGGUGAUCGGCCACACUGGGACUGAGACACGGCACAGACUCCUACGGGAGGCAGCAGUAGGGAAUCUUCCGCAAUGGACGAAAGUCUGACGGAGCAACGCCGCGUGAGUGAUGAAGGCUUUCGGGUCGUAAAACUCUGUUGUUAGGGAAGAACAAGUGCUAGUUGAAUAAGCUGGCACCUUGACGGUACCUAACCAGAAAGCCACGGCUAACUACGUGCCAGCCGCCGCCGUAA
rnacentral:rRNA from 1 species